GCAAUUUUCAGCAGUUUCCCGACCUGGGAGGCAACAGUAACAUCCUACUUCCCUGAAAGCUGGCAGUAAACUCCAAGUCCCAACUUUUGAUGUUCCAGCCCUUCCAAUGGUUGUAUAAACCCCUGACUCCCUGCCCUAAACCUUUUUCCAUUGGGGGCCUCGUAAGGUGGCACCUAGCCCCACUAACACGGCAUGUGUGUGUGUGUGUGCACCUGCACCUGCACCUGCACCUGCACAGGAGUCAGCUAGAAAGCACAAAGGCGAAUGUGUCACUCCUGUGGCAUGGGACCAUGAAUGGCCUCUGUUUGCCCUCUAGUUCUCUGGCUGGGAACUCAGAGAUGUCCCUCCCUGUCCAAUCUCAUCUCCUGCCACUCCCCAUACUUCCUCCCCAGCAGCUCCGCUCCAGGACAUUGAUAACUGUGAAUAGAAGACAGUCGUUGGGAGAUUUCACCGCAAUCUGAAUGACCACUCACUUUUUAUCUCCACACAAGACUGUGAGCCCCUUGAGGAUGGAGGCUCAGUUGCAUUUUUCUUGGUACCACUAGAAAUCAGCAUUGAAGUUGGCAAAAAGUAGGGAUCAGGGAUUUUUUUUUUCUUAAAUUCAUGAGUGAACGCUGUCUCCCUGGUCAAACUGUUUUCAGAGGAUUGAGAUAAGGAGGCAUUUGUCUGCAGGUUCCCAUCUCCAGAGCAGAGGCUCUGCAUGAUGUCUUCAAAGCCAGAUUGGAUCCCUACCCCGGUCUGGAGUGUGAGCUAGAGCCUCGGCCCUCACCAGCAUAUGCUAUAGCAAGGGCUCUGGGCAGGGAGGCAUCAAACCCCAGGUGCUCAGGGGGACUCUGCUCCCCUCCAUUUUUUCUAGAAAUGUACCAGGACCCCUUCCCUGUGCUGGGUGCUAAGGAUACAGCAGCAAACAAAAUAGGCUGUCCCUCUGUCUUCACGGGCACAAUAUUCAGCCAGGCUCUUUGCCUCAGUGUCCCCAAGUGUUAAUUGGAGACAGUAGCUCUUAUAUUGUGUGGUUGCUGCAAGGGUAAAAUGAGUUAGAAGACAUCAAGGGCUUAGAACGGUGCCUGGCACAUAGUAAGUGCUAAAUGAAUCUGGCUAUUAUUAGAUCAUGGAGCUUAUUAUUAGAUCACGGGUGAGUCAGAGGAUAGACAAUCAGGGAGUAACUAGGACCAUCUUAGAGUGAGCUAAGUGCCUCAGGCGAGAUAAUGCAGAGGUGGGGGACAGAGUGGGUGGGGAGGGGAGCCGCCAUACAGUGGCCAGGACCAGCUUUGCCCAAGUGGUGGCAACCGCAUGACCACAGGAACGAUGGCGUGAGCCCCGUGGCAACCUGGAGGAAGGGUGUGCUGGGCAGGGGAGGGCGGUGCAAAGACCCCAAGAAAGAGAGUCUGGCCCAUUGGCCAGCACGGCUGGAGUGUGGGGACAGGGCAGGGGUGUGCGGGGGAGACUGGAGUCCCAGGAGAGGCCAGGUUGCAGGGCAUUGAGGGCCAGAGGAGGCACCUGGGCCUGUUCCAUUCCCAACCCUCAGGAUGGCCCACCCAUUACCCACAGCUGCACGUGAACGUCCUUUGGCGCUGGCCUCCAGGGUGGGGAAACCAGGUUCCUGCAGAGAGGGGCAGAUCUGAGUGUCCCCCGCCCUCGCCUGGGUGCACUCAGGGUCAGGCCUGGUGCCCGCAGAGUCCAUCCCAUGCCUCAUUACCCCCGGCUGGCUGAGGCCCACCCUGGGCUCCUGGUGGGUGGGGGCACUUCUGUGAGCUCCACCACUGUGUCUGUGAGCCCAACCCCGACCAGCCCCCUCCAGCUUCUGGGGCCUGCAAGGAGGAGGAAGGCCAGGGUAGAGGGAAUGGAGAGAGACUGUUCCAUGCAGAGGGGUGAGCCACCUUCUGCGGUGGAGGCCAGGAGCAAGGAUAUGCUCUGAGCCUGGUCUGGGGCCCCUCCCCCACUUCCCACCUCCCAGCUCUUCCCUCCUAGAGACACCUUCUUUGUCUGCAGAGGCCACUGCUUUGAUUCUGUUGUUGCUAGGUGAUGGGAACUGGGGGGAGCAAAGAGUGGGGAACUGGGCAGGGUCUGGCGGGGCUGUGGUGGGGGAAGCUGAAGCAUGAAGGCUCGAGGAGCACACAGACACCUACACACAGCUCCGCGGGCAUGUGGGGACCCAGACCCACCCCCACAGCAGACACCCCCACAGAGCACUCAUGGCCCCCACAGAAAUACACCCACACUCAUCACAGCAAACCAAAACAAUCACACGCCGGUACACAAACACACACACCCCCGCACCAAUCCAGGCAGACACAAAGCUCACGGCGACAGGCAGAUCUGAUUCACACAGACACAGGCACAGGUGCUUCCUGAUGCCACCCUCUCUUGGUCACGUGCCAGCACUUGGAGGGAGGAAAGUGCCUCACCAGGCUGAGAUGCCCAAGGGACCCCCCAGGGAGGGAAAGCAGGACACACUGGGACAGUUGCUUCCAGCCCUGUCCACACCCUUGUGCCCAUCAGGAAAUAAUCCAGGAUCCAUUUCGUGUGGUCAUCUUGUCUCCCUGGUCCCCUCCAGCCUUUCCUCAUCUUUUGUGACCUGGUCACUCUGGAAGGGCGCUGGCCAGUUAGUCCACAGGAUGGGCCUCCCCUGGGGCUUUUCUGAUGCUUCCUUAUGAUGGCACUGGCAUCCUGAGGGGGAGGACCACAGAGAGGAGGUGCUCCUCAUCACACCACAUGGGGGUCCAUGCACCAGUGCCACUGCUUUCCAGGGCUCUUCACCUUCAUCACUGGUGGAGGUGGCGUCUGCCAAGAAGCAGAAAGUUGAGGCUUAGAAGGUGCACGGCCCUACCUCUUCCGAGGUGCCCCUGCGGGCUGUCUACAGACCAGGCAGCACAUGCCUGAUAGCAGCUGCAUAAGGAAAAGCAGGAGCCAGCUCGUGCACAGUGGCCUCAAGUGUGCACUGGGCAUGUUCUCUGCCUCACCAUCCCUGUGUGACAGAUGAAGCAUGGCAAGCCAGGCUCCAGAGAAGCAUCCUGAGGACCAGUGUUCCUAGGGACCUCAUUCUUCUGACCUCAUUCCUACAACGUUUUGUCACUGCAAAGGAAAUCACCAAGGCCAGCAUGACAGCCCUCAACAGAAGCCAAGGCCAAGUCCUCGAACUUCCUAGUCUGCACAAUGUCUGUCUUUCAGACACUUCUGAUGAAACUGAAAAUGCCACCAGGGAGAAGCAGCUGAACAAUGUGAGAGAUAGAAUGGAUGCCCUAAAGAAGAGGAUGCAGCAGAAAUUAGGAAGAGAUAAAGAAGAGCAACAUUCCUUAAGAAAUGCCCUAUGGUUGGGAAUGGCCAUUUCAUGUUAGAAACAAAGGUGAUAAUAUUCAAUUCUGGGCAGUCUUCUGCUUAGUGCGAUAACUACCUUUUUUCUGAGAUAGAGUUUUGCUCUUGUUGCCCAGGCUGGAGUGCAAUGGCGCAAUCUCGGCUUACUGCAACCUUUGCCUCCCAGGUUCAAGUGAUUCUCCUGCCUCAGCCUCCUGAGUAGCUGGGAUUACAGGCAUGUGCCAACACACCUGGCUAAUUUUGUGUUUUUAGUAGAGAUGGGGUUUCUCCGUGUUGGUCAGGCUGGUCUCAAACUCCCGAUCUCAGGUGAUCCACUUGCCUUGGCCUCCCAAACUGCUGGGAUUGCAGGCAUGAGCCACUGCGCCUGGCCUCCCUUUUUUAACUCACCCUCCAAAACCUUUAGUAAAAUCUAUUUUACCCAAUGCCUUUGUUUUUGUGGUGUCUUGGGGGAGAAAGGUAGGUUCUCCCAUGUGGUAAGAAGGAGCAGGGAUUGGACAGAAGCACAUGGCCUGAGGUAAUGGACAAGAUACUGGAUGGGAGAACACCAGGAGAAUGCCAAUACCUUCCCUGCUUGUCCCUGGGGUUUAGGGCAUCUACUGGACUCCCCAGUCAUAUAAGUUUCAAACAGUUCUAAAGCUGUAGCCACACUCCCAGAGGUUCCCAGAUUUAAU
rnacentral:lncRNA from 1 species